AGUCACCGGCGUCACGAAACACGCGCUGCACGAAAAGGCACGAGUCGUUGGCGCCUCCGCAGCGGCCACAGCGGUCCUCGAGGGCACCCGAGCCCAACAACCCAUCACAGCCGGCGCUCUAAAGGAUGAAGCCCAGAGAUUUGGCCAAAGCCACACAUCGAGGCUGAGGCAGAGCCAGGACUGGACCGUAGGUGCUCUGCGUCCAGCAACCUGGGACUCGCAGGCAAGUAUCCUGGGGCUGCAUUCAUUCAUUCAUUCAUUCAUUCAUUGUCUUUAUAUUAGGAGUCCUUACAUAUUAUUCAUUUUUAACACCAUUACUCAUUCUUCAUUCCACUGAACACCUACUGUUUUCCAGACACUGUUCCAAGCUCUAGGAUACAGAAGCAAGAAUUCAAUCAGUGUGCAGAUGGAUGGCCUUAAAAAAGGCCAGGUGUGGUGUCUCAUGCCUGUAAUCCCAGCACAUUGGGAGGCUGAGGUGGGCAGAUCUCCUGAGGCCAGGAGUUCAAGACCAGCCUGGGCAACAUGGCGAGACCCCCCCGUCUCUACCAAAAAUACAACAAUAAAAAUUUAGCCAGG